rnacentral:tRNA from 1 species
UUCUAAGAAGACCUAUGGGGUCCCCACCAGCGACGAGGCUUUUGCCGAGGAGCUUAAGGGUGGGGCAAAGACCCCUUUCGGUUCUCUUGGAACAAGACGGAAGAGAGUCACUCUUACCGUCGCGCAUACCAAAAGCGGGUCUGCCGCCUUCGUUUCUCUUUCUUCAGCGAAUGACUUUGGAUCAGCGCUCGCGCGCCGUACCGCAGCCCCCUCUUGAUUAAAAUGGGCGGGCUGCUGGCGCUCCGCGAGGGCGCGGCACGAGCCGCGACGGCCACCUGCUAGUCAGAUCUGGCGGCCUUGCGAGGCUUCGCCUCGAUGUCAACGGCUCGUUACUGGCAGAGCGCGGUCUUUAGGGCUUGUAGCUCAGUUGGUUAGAGCGCGCGCUUGAUAAGCGUGAGGUCGGAGGUUCAAGUCCUCCCAGGCCCACCACUUCCUCGAUCGUCAUGUUCGGGAAAACACUAUCAGGGGCCGUAGCUCAGCUGGGAGAGCGCCUGCUUUGCAAGCAGGAUGUCGUCGGUUCGAUCCCGUCCGGCUCCACCAAUGCGCGAUCUCGAAGAGAUCGUCGCUCCACCACCUCUUGCGAGGUUGGCUAAGCGCGAUCCGAAAGGAUCGCGUGUGGGUGUCGAGCAGAGACGGCGAGAAAAAAGUCAUUCGUAAAAAGAGUUUGCGUCGAGCCUAGUGCUCUGCGCCUGUUCUGUUUGACAUCGUAAAGAGAAGAUUUGUUCGAACUUCAUGGGUUCCGAAAGGGCCAUGAUUUGUCGCAAGGGACGCUCAAUCCCUUGCCUAUGAUGGGUUUGCCUAACCGCGCCCUCGAACGGAUCUCGAGAAGCUGGUCUUUUUGUGCCAAUUCCAUUGAGGCAGGUCCCGCACAGGAUCUGGUUCGAGGCGACAAUCCCUUCGGGAUUGCGCUUAGCUAACCUCGCAAGGGGUUUGGCUUGAACGACGAUCCCUUCGGGAUCGCGUGAUGGGUAUUGGCAAUGAGAACGAUCAAGUGUCUUAAGGGCAAUUGGUGGAUGCCU